UACGUAGGCGGAAAAUUAAGUCAGUAGUGAAAUCCCGCAACUUAACUGUGGAACUGUUAUUGAUACUGGUUUUCUUGAAUAUAGUUGAGGUAGGCGGAAUGUGUAAUGUAGCGGUGGAAUGCUUAGAUAUUACACAGAACACCGAUUGCGAAGGCAGCUUACUAAGCUAUGAUUGACGCUGAGGUACGAAAGCGUGGGGAGCGAACAGGAUUAGAUACCCUGGUAGUCC
rnacentral:rRNA from 1 species